GAAUGCUGACAUAAGUAACGAUAAAGCGGGUGAAAAGCCCGCUCGCCGGAAGACCAAGGGUUCCUGUCCAACGUUAAUCGGGGCAGGGUGAGUCGACCCCUAAGGCGAGGCCGAAAGGCGUAGUCGAUGGGAAACAGGUUAAUAUUCCUGUACUUGGUGUUACUGCGAAGGGGGGACGGAGAAGGCUAUGUCAGCCGGGCGACGGUUGUCCCGGUUUAAGCAUGUAGGCGGAGGU
rnacentral:rRNA from 3 species